UAUUUGAACCGUCUCAUUCAUAGCGUAAUUUCUGUAAGUUAUUGGUCGUAUUAAAAGUUGAAAUUUAGGACAACAAUACUUGUUCAUUGAAGAAGCUGGGAAUGAAGUGAAGGCGAACAAGACCGUCAAAAUUCUUGCAAAAAUUCCGCACACUGGAACUGGACUGGACAAAAUGGUUGAUAAAUUUCUGAUGAAAAAUAUACGUAAGAAACCGAUGUUGACGGCUUAUGGAUUUUUUCAACUGGACCGCAGCGCUUUGUUCAAGCUUUUUACUGCGAUUAUUACCUAUAUUAUGAUUUUAGUGCAAUUCACAGAUAUUGAAAACUCCUUAAAAACAAAACAAAUUCAAAC